AGGGCUCUGCAGUGUACGUGACUCCGCGUUUGGAUUCGCCGCCUUAAUGAUUGUUAUUAGGGAGCUUGACCCGAGAUGAGAUGGACGUCAUGCCGCUUCUGGCGGAAGGCGGAAGUUUUGCCGGUAGCACCCACUUGGUUGUUGAGAGGCAGCCGAGAUACCAACGUACGACGGCACAGGUGGAGCUCCU
rnacentral:other from 1 species